GACUCCAUGGCCCAAUGGAUAAGCCGCUGGUCUACGAACCCAGAGAUUCUGGGUUCGAUCCCCAGUGGAGUCG
rnacentral:tRNA from 1 species